GCGUCAGCAGCUCAUAGUCCACUGAAGCCUGCUGUGUUCUCCACAUCCUACUGAGAACCUCAGUGCACUGAGAAGACAAACAGACCAGAGAGACUUUAGUCAAUCAUUGGCUGGACAAGGACAGUGACGGUGCCACAGGAACUAUGCCCACCUGUUCUCCCACACUCAGCCACCGUGCUGCUGGACUCUACAGGUCCUGGACUGGACUGGACUGGACUGAUGGCAACACACACGCACACACAGGAGGAGGAACACUGAGGGACGGACUGAGACCACAGACGGGUCUGGACCUGCCGCUUCGAGGGUCCGGCUUUUAGGAGGAGAGAGUGAAAACACAGCUGACGACAGAGAAGAAAAGGAGGAGGAAGAGGAGGAGGAGGAAGAGGAGGAGGAGGAGACUAAUGUGUGCAUUAAAUGUGGCGUAAAAACCAAAACAAAGAGCUGAAACAAGCUCCCGUGAAGGCUCCGCUCCAGCUGGACCCCGACCCCGACUCCCCCUUCCCUCCGAUGUCACAGGGGGACGCAUUGGCCCCGGGCACGGACCCCCCUGGGGUCAGCCGGUGAUGAGGCCUCACAGACGGCACCAGC